ensembl:snRNA U1 U1 spliceosomal RNA
AUACUUACCUGGCAGGGGAGAUAACAUGAUCGUGAAGGGGGUUUUCUCAGGGCAAAGCUUAUCCAUUGUACUCCAUAUGUGCUGACUCCUGUCAUUUUCCGAAAUGCUGGAAAUUCGACUGCAUAAUUUGUGAUGGUGGUGAAAUA